AGGUCCUGCCUGCCCAGUGACUAUGUUAAACGGCCGCGGUAUUUUGACCGUGCAAAGGUAGCGCAAUCACUUGUCUUUUAAAUGAAGACCUGUAUGAAUGGUGGAACGAGGGCCUAACUGUCUCCCUUUUCAAGUCAAUGAAAUUGAUCUACCCGUGCAGAAGCGGGUAUACUAAUACAAGACGAGAAGACCCUUUGGAGCUUAAGAUUAAAAAUCACCUAUGUCAAAUAUUCAUCAAAUAGAACUAAAUAGCAACUGAUCAUAAUCUUCGGUUGGGGCGACCACGGAAUAAAAACAAACUUCCACAUGGACUGAGGACUAACCUUAAAACCAAGAAAGACAUUUCUAAGUCACAGAAUUUCUGACCACACAGAUCCGGCAAAUUGCCGAUCAAUGGACCAAGUUACCCUAGGGAUAACAGCGCAAUCCCCUUUUAGAGUUCCUAUCGACAAGGGGGUUUACGACCUCGAUGUUGGAUCAGGAC
rnacentral:rRNA from 1 species